AGCUUUGCCUGCGCCAUGGCUGCCCAGCUCGAGCUUGCCAACGCCAUGGCCGCCCAGCUUGAAGACGAAGUACACCACCUUGGUGCGCAGUAGGAAGUUGCGCUCGAUGGUGAAGACGAUGAGCGUGACGAGCCACUGGCUGAGGAGGUGGCCGGAGAAGAUGGUGGUGACCAUGACACAACACUUUCAGAUCUCCAGCUCCAAGAGGAUGCGCCCUCUGCAGGGGCCGCACGACGACGCUGACAAUGAGCAGCGCGAGGACGAGGACGAGCACGGAGAGCUCGAGGCUGAGGCGCGCCUGGCGGUGGCACCGUGCCGCAAAGGCGGUGUCCGGGAGCCAUCCCUGUUGCGGAAGAGGUCCUCCUCGUGGUCGGCAAUCCAUCCGAGCUACAAUCCAUCGUCGGCAAUGCAUCAUUAAGAAAAAUAGUAUCUGGAAAAGAUAUGGGUAGUUUAUUGUCAGUGCAGAAGAUCUGAGCUACAAGGUUUAGAGGAAGGCAGGUCCCGUAAUGCCGCUGUCGUAGAUAGGUCUAUUUUACAUCGCUAUUGGCUUGUUCAUGGUUAUUGAGGUUAUUGCUGGGUUACAAUCUAUGGUUCUGGUUUUUGUCGGACCAGCUACAGUAAGAUCGCAUCGAGUUAUGUCAGUGUACCUAUCAUAAGAUCCAGUAAAAUUCACUUGAAAAUUACACGCAAAUCGGCAAAUGUUCUGUAUUUUGUCAAAGAAGAAAAAGGAAGUUGUGUUACGGGAUAACGACUAUAAUCUUAUUGGGGCAAGAAAUUAGACAUUCGGAAUUUUUACCACAUAUUGUUUGCGCAUUUCAUUGCCAAAAAAAGGCAUUGAUCAGCCCCAUCUAAACGUCUUAAAUAAAUGAAUGCAACACAUAGCGUUCAUCUGAUACUGUUGUAAUAUGUAUCUGCCAUCUUCUAAAUCUCAACUGAAAACUUACAUCCCUAGCCAUUGCAAUAGCAACUUGUCUCUAUCAUCCUCAGUCAAUCAAGUAACAGACAUCAGGAAUGCACCACCACUCGCUGUCAUCUCAGCCGUAUGAUUCUAAAUUUCUAAUUAAUUACUCCCUCCGUCCUAAAAGACUAUUCGUUUAGUCUUCAAAACUUAUCCUACAAAGAGUGUUUAUAUAACUUUCAUACCAUCCAACAAAGAUCUUCAUAAUACCUUCUGGCCCAGUGAACGAAUCGAUUAAUUACCCCCAUCAUCGAUGCCCGAUCCAGACUCGCUAAAUAAGGAAGGCUAAUAGGUCCGACAAUUACUGCAAGCGUGCAUGCAUAAUUAAUUAUACUUGGCAAUCCAUCCGAUUAAGAAGAGUUAUUAGGGGUACUUUGAACUUCUAGUAUUUCUACUAUCGUGUCUAAAAUUUUCUAAACGAACUGUCUAUGUGGGACGGAGCGAGUAGGCGCCUCUAGUUGUUGAAUUAUAUCUGUUUAUGAAAAAAGACAAUCACCCAGCAUAUAGUGCCUCCAUUUAUUUCUUACAGUGACAAAUAUUAUUUGCAUAACACAGCCUUUUAAUUUUCUGAUUCAUUCACCAAUUAUUAACCACUGUGCACGAACCGCCUAAUGACCCGGAUCAGCUCGUCCGAGGCCUCCCCGCACGGCUCCGUGACGAAGAAGGCGUGCCCCUGCCCCUCGAACACGACGAGCUCGACCUCCUUGCCGGCCGCCCUCAGCCUCGCGACGUACUCCCCGACGCGGUCGUGGAGCACGUCCUGGUCGGGGUCGAGGACGAGCACCGGCGGGAAGUCGCCGCCGAGGUCGCCGAACGGGACGCUCCCCGGCGCGAGCGGGUUCGCGAUCGGGUGGUCCUUGGUGGCGCCCGCCGGCAGCGCCAGGCGCCACAACUGGUCGAACAGCGCCAUGCCCAUGGGCUCGCCGGGCGGGGACGCCGCCUCGGACGGCAUCAGCUCCUCGCCGCCGAAGUAGGGCCAGAGCAUCACGCAGCCGGCGAGCCGGAGCGGGGUGAGUGGGAGCUCCCCGGACCCGUGGCGCACAGAGAUGUGGUGCGCGAUGUUGCCGCCGGCCGAGUCGCCGGUGACGAACACCCGGCGGAAGUCGGCCGACUCGACGAGCCACGGGUCGGCGCCGCCGCCGCCGGCGGCCUGGGAGCGGAGCCAGGAGAAGACGGACUCGGCGUCGUCGAGCGCGGCGGGGAGGCGGUGCUCUGGCGCGAGGCGGUAGUCGGCGGAGAGCACGACGGCGGGCAGCUCGGCGGCGAGGCGGAGCGCACCGGCGUGGAAGUUGAUCACCUCGAAGCUGGCGACGCAGAAGCCGCCGCCGUGGAAGUACACGAGCACCGGCAGCUUCUUCUCCUCCACCCCGCCGCCAGCGCCGGCGGUGGAGAGCCGGUACAUGCGGAGCCGGAGGCCGUGCGCGCCGUCGUAGACGACGUCCUUCCACUCCACGGGCAGGUCCGGCGGCGGCACGCCGCCAACGAGCGGGAACACCGAGUAGUCCGUGGACCGCCUCACCGUGCCGUCGCUGAGCAGCUGGACGAGGCCGAGGCAGUCCUCGACGACAUGUGGCGCUGCCGCCGAGCAUGCUGGAACGGCCGACGACAUGACAAGUUGGCUACUGAACAGUGAACACAGGAGUGUGACCGAGCAAGUCACGAAGCUUUACGGCCGAUAAAUAGCCGGGCAUGGUCGCAAGGAUGCCCUGGCCUUUAUUUCGUUGACUUGGACUGGACUACCGGACCCACCAGUAAGCGACACAGGCUAGUCAGAGAGCCGUGCGUCGAUCAGCCGCCGUGGACUUCUCCUACCCGCGAAGUGAGAUUUUCCACACGUGAUAAGCACAAUCCGUGCCACGGAGGAUGACACGUCACUGUCUCCUCCGCGUGUCGAAUGCUCGUCGGUCACUGCAACGAAGAUAAGCUCAAAGCGUUCCCAUCAGAUCACGGCGGUUGGCAGUUGCUUGUCUGAUCAUGUGACCAUGUCUAGUUCCAACCUCGCGCUCAAUUCGGCUCACCAUUUUCGGUUUGAAAUCCAGCUAAAAUCAUCUUGCCGUCCGUAGCUCGACGAAGAAGAAGAAGGUUCGAAUGGUUGCUCAGUUGUCACUCUGCUCGUACUUUUUGUGUUGAAGUCUGUGCCGAAUGCCUUUAAGCUUUUUUGAAAAACGCAGGAAAGAAAGGGCCAAUGUCGUGCGCUUGUUGGAUUGAAAAGGAAGGCACAUCGCGUUCGCAUAGCAGCUAGAAUCUAGACACUACGCUUUGGAUUGCUGUCUCACAUCAGCAUGGAAGGCGACGCGCCGCCGCGCGUCGUCGAGGACUGCCGCGGCGCGCUCCGCGUGCUCAGCGACGGCACCGUCGUCCGGUCGACGCCGCCGAUCGCCGGCGACACCGAGGGCGUCCGCGCCGACCCGUCCGUCGCGUGGAAGGACGCCGUCUACGACGCGGCACAUGGCCUGGGCCUCCGCAUCUACAUGCCCGCCGUCGCGGCAGCCGCCGGCGGCCGGGACACGAAGCUCCCCGUCGUGGUCUACUUCCACGGCGGCGGCUUCUGCAUCGGCUCCUACGCGUGGCCGAUCUUCCACGCGGCGUGCAGCCGACUCGCCGCCGGUCUUUCCGCCGUCCUCGUCUCCGCCGACUACCGCCUCGCCCCCGAGCACCGCCUCCCCGCCGCCAUCGACGACGCGGCCGCGGUCCUCCUCUGGCUCCGCGACAGCAUCGCCGCCGGUGCCGACCCCUGGCUCGCCGCCCACGCCGACGCGGGCAGAGUCCUCGUCGCCGGCGAGUCGGCGGGCGGCGUCCUGGCGCACCACAUGAACGUCCGCUUCUCCUCCGGCGCGCCGCUCCACCCCGUGCGGCUCCGCGGCUUCGUCCCGCUCAUGCCGUUCUUCACCGGCGGCGGCGAGCCGACGCCCUCCGAGCUGGCAUGCCCCGACAGCGCGUUCCUGAACCGCGACAUGUCGGGGCGGUACGUCCGGCUGUCGCUCCCCGCCGGCGCCACAGCGGACCACCCGUUCCUGAACCCGUUCUCGCCGGACGCGGCGCCGGGGCUGGACCGAGUUGACGUGGGGCCGACACUGGUCGUCGUGGGCGGCGACGACAUGCUGCGGGACAGGAACGUGGAGUACGUGCGGAGGAUGGAGGAGAUGGGGAAGCCGGUGGAGGCCGUCGUGUUCCCGGGGCAGGGGCACGCCUUCUUCUCGCUCCGGCCGUGGAGCGAGCCGGUGGAGGAGAUGAUCCGGGUUGUGAAGCGGUUCAUGGACAAGGUCUGCUCAGGCUGAGCUGAGCGGUUACUGUAGAUGCACCGAACUGCUACUCUGUGUUCUGAUUUUUCACUGCAAGCUGCAUAAAAUAAAGGGAGACUAAAUUUUAAGUCUCCAUUACUGGAUAUUUACUAUGUUUUCUUCAUUUUGCCCUUCAAUCAAAAUCUAUCAAUACGUAUGGCGCCGAAGUGGUGGAUAGUGUGUGUGACCCAUAAAAACUUAGCUUCAAAUUCGGCCGGGCUUCAUGUUGCCGCCAUCGUGGGGUAUGGGUCUGAUUUCUACGCAUACUGGGCUGGGCCAACAUUUGGUGACAGGUGCUUUUUUUUGACCCAACAGAAGUCCCACCAACCUCAAAAAUUUAGUAAUCCUCUAAAAUAGUAUUGAAAAACACUCACGAAAACACACGGCUUGCCCACUUGGACCAGUUCCCAUCUAGGGUACCGUGUUAUACUUUUCGAAGAAAGAAAUUACUUGACAGAUUAUCAGCUCUUUUCCAAGACGUCAUUGGACUAUUCAAUUGUUUUCUUUGAAGAGGACAAUCUGUCCGAAUUGCUGAGUCAUCAUGGGUACCAAGUGGACCAUAUGGUUAGAUGUGCAUUGCAUACAUCUUUGCUUCCUGUCACUCCAGAGCUCUGAAUAACAGAACCCAUCUAAAACAAUCGGUCUGCUUUCUCCACUUCGUCUUCCCUCGGAUCAUGCGAUCAGCUCGUGCCUUCUUCUCUUCCAUCUCUGUUAACAUCAGUCUAUCCACCGAUACAUUACUCCAUCAUGCAUCAAUAACUCGUCUUCCAGAAGGGGUUAAAAGUUGAGCUCUUCAUUCAGUCAGUUCUCCUGAGACCUUUUCUACUGAUGAUGAUGUGGGCCUCUGUCAGUUCAGAAUUUCUCACAUUCAGACCCUACGAACAAGAAAGAGAUCAGAGAGGCAUCUCCAUCUCCGGCCUCUCAUUUUCAUUUGCAGUCUAGAGGAUGGGAUAUGGUUCGACGAGCAUGGCCAUAACCCGUCGUUUCUUGGCAGAUAUUUGCCGUGGACUGACUCGAUCAGUUGCAACUGAACGUAGCUGUCAAUCUAACCCUCCCCUCCCACCUCCCUCCCCUGCUCACACGCGCCUCCCCUCCUUCCCCUCAUCACGCGCAGGCAGCCGUAUCGAACUGGCGUCAGUCAGCUAGAUCUCCUCCUUACAGGUAAAAUAUUUCUGUGCAUUUCUGUUUUCUGUUUAGAAUUAAGCAGAGAUUGCAUGAUGCUAGUAAGCGGUCAUCCCAUACGUUGAACACCUUAUAUGCCUUAGUUUCCAUUCCAGUGUGAUUAGUUCCUUUGUGUGCUUGUACCAACAACUUGAUCUAAUCUUGGCAUAUGGGAAUUAAAUCAGCUGGCCCAUGGCUGGAGGGAAUUCCACCAUAGACUGCUCCUACGAUGCACUGGAGCAAUGCUCCUCUAUGAUUACAUGCGAUGCCUCCUCAUGGGACAAGAGCUUUGGAGAGAAGAUAUGGCUUAUGAACUCACUCCAGCUCAUCAGUGCCGUCCUGGCUGGAGUCAUAGUCGGGAUAGGCAUCUACGGCCAGCGCUACCGCCACCACCGCUUCACCAGGUUUAUCUUCCUCGGAGCCACGACCCUGUUCUUGCCUGUCGUCUCCACUGUUGUCUCCAUGGGCGCCGGGAACAGUAACCACAGCAUAGUCAGGGGUGACAUUCGGUUUAUUGCAGAGUGCCAACCAAGAGCACAGUCGAUCCUGAUUGUAAUAUGGGCAUCCCUUGUUCAGAUCAUCAUGAUCAAUACCAGUGCAGUAGUUGCUGUCGAUGAUAGAGAAGGUGGAAACGUAGGUCCUCCAUUUGAGCUGCUUGUUCAGGGUGUCUGGAUCUUUUACCUUGGUAUCAGCAAUAUCAUUCCUAUGGCUGACGGAUUAUUUGAAAUCGAGCUAAUUCUUUUUGCCCUUGAAGCCACACCUUUUGCUCUCACGUGUGCCAAAAUGGUAUUGAAAUAUUAUGCAUAUGAAAAGGCGCGACAAUCCUUUGCUCUCGGACGCAAUCCCCAUCUUAUAUUUGGAUACAUGAAGCAACAAUCGUUACAAGAAACAAGUCACGAUGGUGAACCAAUGGUAGCUGAGGAUGCACCUCCCCCGCUGCUGGUUAUGGGAGAAGAGAAAAGACACGUGGAGAAGCAGCCUCUUGGGUAUGUGGUCAAGGAUGACUCAUGGACAACUUCGCAUAACAAUGGCCUGGUGACUAUUGAUAGAGUUUGGAGGAUGGAUAACGUGCUUCCAACAUCAACACUGAAACCACAAAAAGACUUAUGCUUGUCAUUUGCAUUGUUCAAGUUGUUGCGGUGCCGAUUUGCAAGGUACAAGGUCAGAACUGCUGCCUCCAAGGGCACCUUCAGUUUUUUCUGGAGCUUAUUGCUGAAGGAUGGCGAACAUGAUAGGGUCUUUUUGGUCAUUUCGGAUGAGGUUUCUUUCCUUCAUGAUUAUUAUUAUUCAUCCCUCCCGAUCUCCUAUUCCAAGCAUUGGUUGCCCGUUGCCGGUAUCUUGAUCUCACUACUGAGCAUAGCUUACUGUUGUGCAUCGAUGAUCACAGUAACGCUUGUGGUAGUCCAACUGUUGCUGGAUGUUGGAUUCGGACCUCAGUCGUUUGCAUGCUAUUUUUUUUGCAUUCGAGGAAAACUGAGGAGCGACAUGUACAUCCAAGGUUAUGGGAAUGGGUACCUUGGUCCGGUGCUAUUAAUUUUGCUUUCGGUGUUAGUCUUGAUGUCUGAGGUGAGGGACAUAGCUACCUACAUCUACUCCAACUGGACUAAAGUUGCCGUCACCUGCCACCUUGUAAACCAUGCCUCUUCGCAGCAUUCACUUCUCAAGAAGAAAUGGAUUGGCCUUCUGCUGCGUUGUCGAUGCAAGCUGAUGAAGCAUUGGGAUGAGAAAAUAGGCCAGUGCACUAUGCUGGAGAUUCGCCCGAGAACAACCCUGCCUGUACUUCUCAGGCGUCUCCUCCACUUACCAGACCACAAGAGGAAGGUCAAGGUGCCUGCAGCAGUGAAGGUUUGCAUCAUGGAAGUUGUAAGAAGCACUAGAAAUGGAGACCUUAGCAAUGGCACAGCAUCUCUCCGCUGCCGGGGCCAAGUUGGUGAAGUGCUCCUCUGGGCUUGCAACAACAAGAGUACGUCUUAUACCAUACUGACAUGGCACAUCGCCACAAGCAUCCUCGAGGUCAGGUACCCACACCGGCUUGAUCAACAACAAGGUUCUUCUUCUCCAAUUCCGAACACGGACUAUAAGAUCGUUGCCACUCACCUAUCAAGGUACUGUGCUUACCUUGUGACAUGGUGCCCUGAGUUACUCCCUGAUGAUGAUGCAUGGAGCAGGAGCCUGUACGAGGAUGUCAAGAAGGAUGUUGAGCGUGUACUUGCCGGCUGCACAGCAGGAGACUCACUGACGCCAGAAGCAAAUUGCCAACAGCUGAUCGAAGUGCUGAGUGCAGAUGCGAAGCAUGAAGUGCUCAAGGAAGGCGCUAGGCUUGGAAAGCAGUUGUUGGCGCUGGUGGUCGAAGGUGAGGACGAUACAGCGGCGUGGAAGUUACUGGCUGAAUUUUGGUCGGAGAUGAUCGUGUAUGUCGCGCCAUCCGACAACCUCAAAGGUCAUUCGGAGGCCAUCGCCAGGGGUGGCGAGCUGAUAACUCUGCUCUGGGUGUUGCUCUUCCAUGCUGGGAUCCUUAGUAGGCCAGGUGAGGACGAUGGCGUUGCUCCUACUUCUGCUGGCGUGGUUUAGUAGAGUCUCCUAUGUUUGGAACUACUGUUUCCUCCUUGUUUCGGAUUCUUCAUCGUUGAGUUCAUUUCAUAUACCAGAAUUUGUUAACUUGUGGCAGCAUGUGACUCCAUCUUGGUAAUCAGAUGAUCAAUUGUAACAAGUCUAUUUAGAGGUCCUAUAAUAUUGUCGAGACUCGAUAUUCAGAUGUAAUGUUAAAUAUUUCUACGUAUUGUAUUGUGAUGAAUAUAUAUGUUUCAAUUUGGUAUUGUAAUGAAGUGCUAGUAUAUUACACUAUUACUAAUUGGAGGUUCCUAAAUCCUCGCGAUGUGCUCUAGAAAAAUAGAUAAAUCUUAUAAAUUCCCACAAAAUUAAAAUUAGAAACAUCCAACCGUCAAUCCAGUAGACUCUAAUCGUAAUAGCCAUCGGAUCUAUUAUGUUAUCGAAAAACAUAAUCACAUCCCUCAUUAUAAUAAUAGCCUCAUUAUAAUAAUAGUAUAAAGUAACUCCUAAUUCUAUAUCGAAAUUUCCCACCUCUAGCAUAGGUGGGUAAUUUAUAUGGUUGGCAUCAUAACGAUACAUCCAGUUUGUAGCUGUGAAUCUAUUGAGCCGGUUAUGAUGCUGGAACACAACCAGUGGUAGAAGAUGGAACAAAUUUAGGAGUACGGAAUAAAUUUAAGGUCUGACAAAAUCAAAAAUUGAAAGUAACCAAAAAGAUAUCCUUUUCAUUAAUAGCACGAAACAGUGAAGGACGGAAUAAAUUGCAACCUCGAUGAUCAAACAUUUAGGAGAUAAUAGCUGCAGGUCAAGAGAUGAUCAAACAUUUAGGAAACAACACAUGAAAUGCACAGCCACCGAUUGACCAAAACAAAAAGGAAAUUAAAAUGAAUGCCUAAUGAUUUGAUUUCAAAUAAAAAAUGCUAAAAAUGAAAAUUUGCAAUUUGUACCUCUCAAUUCAGCCUUGCCCUUGCCCUUACCCUUGGACUCCAUUUUAGCCUGUGCACUUCGGAUUCCCUGCGUUGUACGCUGCUUCUUGUAACACCAAUGGUGUUUACUAUAAAUUAAACCUUACUUAAGCACUAAUGAGGAGAAAUAAAAAGGAAAAGAGAAAAGAAAAGGAGAAAUACAGAAAAGAAGACUUGGUCAAACAAGGUUGAAUUAGAGACUUGACUAAGUCAACCAUGGUCAAAUUAAGUCAAAAAGGUGAAUUUGGAUCAAUUGUGACAAAUGGAGUGGAUUAAAUUCAAAUCCAGUUUGAAUUUUUAAAUUUAAACUUGAUUUGGAAAGAGGAGUCAAAUGUGGUCAAGUACCCAUGUUUGAGUGCUGUUUCAAAAGGAUUUUAUAUAACAACUUUGGAAAAUAUUCUACUAAGAGUUUGAGUAUAAUGUGUAUAGAACAAUUUGGACUUGAUGUGGUUCACAGAAAAUGGAAUUUGGGUAAUUUAAUUGAGGCUCAAAGUUUGAACUAUGUGCUGUUUGGAGACUUAGGCAGAUUCUCAAUUCAGUGUCUGUAACUGAAACUCAUAUUCAGUUCAUAAUCAAAUCUUCAGAACUCUUAAUCUCUCAAACCGUGGAUCCUUUGAACAAAGUUCAUAUCUAUCAUUUGUAUACCUAUGUUACAUCUACAUUUUUGUUUAUUGGUGCUUGAAGAGAUUGUGUUUGGUUCGGAUGAAUUUAUCUUAAGAAAUAAGGAAUGUUUCUGUGUACCGAAGCCAAAACAUACAACGGUAAGGGUGCCUUUGGUUGGACUUUCCAACCUACUUUUGCAAGUCAAAAGCCAACCAAAGGACCUAAAAACCACAUAUAGUUUAGGUUAAAAGCUGCUUUUGCUCUAGGGUGUGUUUGAUUGGGCUGUGGCUUUUGGAAAAGCUGUUGUGAGCUGUAGGCUGUAGAAAAGCAGUUGUGAGAAAGUAGCUGUGGGAAAAGCAGACUGUGAAACUGUAGGUUGUGUAAGAAAUACAUAUAAUGUCCCUAAAGGUUUGAGGGUCUGUUUAUAUGCAAAUUGUUCGUAACAAAAUAUUGUGUUUACUAAUUUGCAUGUAAAUGAGUACUUUAGAAAGAAAAAAAAUAAAAUUUAUAUGUUCUUCAUCCAUCAAAGUAAUUGGUCCACAUAAAUAGAACAAUAUUCAUCAAAAGACUUAUACAAUGAUGCUAUCCCUCAACAUUACUGUCCUCUUCUCACACUAACCAAAGCAUCAGCUAUCGUAGUACGAAUGGUAUUCAUGGUAUCAUUCUCCACACGUUUCUCAUCUUCGGAGUCUUCGGAUAUGACUAUUUAUUGACGAAAUAUUUUUUAUUUCCAUAACCAUAUCCAUUAGUGGGUCCCAAUUAUCAUUGUUGGUGCCUAUCGUUUCUUUUUUUCUUUUUGCUUCGACUGUAUCUUCUAGCAUUGGACGAGCAUCGUCUCCCAAGCUUAGUCCCAGGAUGGAGAGGAGCUUGAGCUUGCCUGGGCCAUAGCCGCCCAAUGUGAGCUUUGCCUGCGCCAUGGCUGCCCAGCUCGAGCUUGCCAACGCCAUGGCCGCCCAGCUUGAAGACGAAGUACAACACCUUGGUGCACAGUAGGAAGUUGCGCUCGACGGUGAAGACGAUGAGCGUGACGAGCCACUAGCUGAGAAGGUGGCCGGAGAAGGUGGCCGGAGAAGAUGGCGGUGACCAUGACACAACACUUCUAGAUCUCCAGCCCCAACAGGAUGCGCCCCCCGCAGGGGCCGCACGACGACGCUGACGACGAGCAGCGCGAGGACGAGGACGAGCACGGAGAGCUCAAGGCCGAGGCGCGCCUGGCGGUGGCACCGUGCCGCGAAGGCGGGUCUCCGGGAGCCGUCCCUGUUGCGGAAGAGGUCCUCCUUGUGGUCGGCAAUCCAUCCGAGCUACAAUCCAUCGUCAGCAAUGCAUCAUUAAGAAAAAUGGUAUCUGGAAAAGAUAUGGGUAGUUUAUUGUCAGUGCAGAAGAUCUGAGCUACAAGGUUUAGAGGAAGGCAGGUCUCGUAGUGCCGCUGUUGUAGAUAGGUCUAUUUUACAUCGCUAUUGGCUUCUUCAUUGUUAUUGAGGUUAUUGCUGGGUUACAAUCUAUGGUUCUGGUUUUUGUCGGACCAGCUACAGUAAGAUUGCAUCGACUUCUUUCAGUGUACCGAUCAUAAGAUCUAGUAAAAUUCACUUGAAAUUACACGCAAAUCGGCAAAUGUUCUGUAUUUUGUCAAAGAAGAAAAAGGAAGUUGUGUUACAGGAUAACGACUAUAAUUUUACUGGGGCAAGAAAUUAGACAUGCCGAAUUUUUACCACAUAUUGUUUGCACAUUUCAUUGCCAAAAAAAGGCAUUGAUCAGCCCCAUCUAAACGUUUUAAAUAAAUGAAUGCAACACAUAGCGUUCAUCUGAUACUGUUGUAAUAUGUAUCUGCCAUCUUCUAAAUCUCAACUAAAAACUUACAUCCCUAGUCAUUGCAAUAGCAACCUGUCUCUAUCAUCCUCAGUGCAUCAAGUAACAGACAUCAGGAAUGCACCACCACUCGCUAUCAUCUUAGCCGUAUGAUUCUAAAUUUCUAAUUAAUUACUCCCUCUGUCCCAAAAGACUAUUCGUUUAGUCUCCAAAACUUGUCCUAUAAAGAGUGUUUUAUAACUUUCAGACCAUCCAACAAAGGCCUUCAUAAAACCUUCUGGCCCAGUGAACGAAUCGAUCAAUUACUCCCAUCAUCGAUGCCCGAUCCAGACUCGCUAAAUAAGGAAGGCUAAUAGGUUCGACAAUUACUAUAAGCGUGCAUGCAUAAUUAAUUAUACUUGGCAAUCCAUCCGAUUAAGAAGAAUUAUUAGAGGUACUUUGAACUUCUAGUAUUUCUACUAUCUUGUCUAAAAUUUUUUAAACGUCUUUGUGGGACGGAGCGAGUAGGCGCCUCUAGUUGUUGAAUUAUAUUUGUUUAUGAAAAAAGGCAAUCACCCAGCAUAUAGUGCCUACAUUUAUUUCUUACAGUGACAAAUAUUAUUUGCAUCACACAGCCUUUUAAUUUUCUGAUUCAUUCACCAAUUAUUAACCACUGUGCACGAACCGCCUAAUAACCCGGAUCAGCUCGUCCGAGGCCUCCCCGCACGGCUCCGUGACGAAGAAGGCGUGCCCCUGCCCCUCGAACACGACGAGCUCGACCUCCUUGCCGGCCGCCCUCAGCCUCGCGACGUACUCCCCGACGCGGUCGUGGAGCACGUCCUGGUCGGGAUCGAGGACGAGCACCGGCGGGAAGUCGCCGCCGAGGUCGCCGAACGGGACGCUCCCCGGCGCGAGCGGGUUCGCGAUCGGGUGGUCCUUGGUGGCGCCCGCCGGCAGCGCCAGGCGCCACAACUGGUCGAACAGCGCCAUGCCCAUGGGCUCGCCGGGCUGGGACGCCGCCUCGGACGGCGUCAGCUCCUCGCCGCCGAAGUAGGGCCAGAGCAUCACGCAGCCGGCGAGCCGGAGCGGGGUGAGUGGGAGCUCCCCGGACCCGUGGCGCACAGAGAUGUGGUGCGCAAUGUUGCCGCCGGCCGAGUCGCCGGUGACGAACACCCGGCGGAAGUCGGCCGACUCGGCGAGCCACAGGUCGGCGCCGGCGCCGGACGCGGCGGCGGUGGCCUGGGAGCGGAGCCAGGAGAAGACGGACUCGGCGUCGUCGAGCGCGGCGGGCAGGCGGUGCUCGGGCGCGAGGCGGUAGUCGGCGGAGAGCACGACGGCGGGCAGCUCGGCGGCGAGGCGGAGCGCGCCGGCGUGGAAGUUGAUCACCUCGAAGCUGGCGACGCAGAAGCCGCCGCCGUGGAAGUACACGAGCACCGGCAGCUUCUUCUCCUCCAACCCGCCGCCAGCGCCGGCGGUGGAGAGCCGGUACAUGCGGAGCCGGAGGCCGUGCGCGCCGUCGUAGACGACGUCCUUCCACUCCACGGGCAGGUCCGGCGGCGGCACGCCGCCCACGAGCGGGAAUACCGAGUAGUCCGUGGACCGCCUCACCGUGCCGUCGCUGAGCAGCUGGACGAGGCCGAGGCAGUCCUCGACGACAUGUGGCGCUGCCGCCGAGCUUGCUGGAACGGCCGACGACAUGACAAGUUGGCUACUGAACAGCGAACACAGGAGUGUGACCGAGCAAGUCACGAAGCUUUACGGCCGAUAAAUAGCCAGGCAUGGUCGCAAGGAUGCCCUGGCCUUUUAUUUCGUUGACUUGGACUGACUACCGGACCCACCGGUAAGCGACACUAGGCUAGUCAGAGAGCCGUGCGUCGAUCAGCCGCCGUGGACUUCUCCUACCCGCGAAGUGAGAUUUUCCACGCGUGACAAGCACAAUCCGUGCCACGGAGGAUGACACGUCACUGUCUCCACGUGUCGAAUGCUCGUCGGUCACUGCAACGAAGAUAAGCUCGGAGUGAGCAGUGGCCACUGUUGGUCAAAGCGUUCCCAUCAGAUCACGGCGGCCGUGUGCAGUUGGCAGUUGCUUGUCUGAUCAUGUGACCAUGUCUAGUUCCAACCUGGGUGUUGCUCUUCCAUGCUGGGAUCCUCGGUAGGCCAGGUGAGGACGACGGCGUUGCUCCUACUUCUGCUGGCAUGGUUUAAGUAGAGUCUCCGUUAGGAACUACUGUUUCCUCCUUGUUUCGGAUUCAUCAUCUAGAAAAAAUAGAUAAAUCUUAUAAAUUCCCACAAAAUUAAAAUCCGAAACAUCCAACCGCCAAUCCAAUAAACUCUUAUCAUAAUAGCUAUUGGAUCUAUUAUGUUUACUAAAAAAUUAAUCACAUCCCUCCUUAUAAUAAUGGUAUAAAGUAACUCCUAAUUCUAUAUCGAAAUUACCCACCUCUAGCAUAGGUGGGUAAUUUAUAUGAUUGGCAUCAUAACAACACAUCCAGUUUGUAGUUGUAAAUCCAUUGAGCUGGUUAUAAUGCUGGAACACAACUAGUGGUGGAGGAUGGAACAAAUUUAGGAGUAUGGAAUAAAUUUAAGGUCUGACGAAAUAAAAAAUUGAAAGUAACCAAAAAGAUAUCCUUUUCAUUGUAAUAGCACGAAACAGUGAAGGACGGAAUAAAUUGCAAGCACGAUGAUCAAACAUUUUGUUGGCGCUAAAAGUCAGCCGAUUGACUCUUAGCGUCGGACACACGACCCGGGAGAAUCUAUUUAGCUCCUGUUCGGGUGAUCGCUCUGGUGCGGUUCGCGCGGCUUGCCAGCCAAUCUGACCUGUUGAUUGGCAAGGAAGGAAACGUGUCAAAUUCCAGGGGUUCUGAUCGGCUAAGGUUCCGAUCUCGAGGAAGCGUAUCAGCGAAUCGGCCGAUUUGCUAUGAAAAGACAAUCGGCUAUGAUACAGCCGACGAUCGUGUAGCAAUUGCGAAGAAAACUAUUUGAGUAAACUAGACAAAGCUACGAAAGCAACACUUGAAAUAGAUCUAAUCGGCUAUAUGAUAAUGAUGAAUGAAAAUAACAAUAACAAAGCCGACAAUUCAAAUCUCAAGCUGGAUAAUUGGUGAUAAAACUAGAACAAUAGAUAAAACCUAUAAUUCUAGUAAAUAUCGAUAACUGGUGAAUAAAUCUAAACGAAACGACAGCGAUGCGCCCGAAGUUAAAGCUUAGAUAUUACUCGAUAAGCGGAACUUACAGAAUCGGCCGGAGAUUGUGUCGAUGCAGCUCUGCCAACCUGCACGAACUCGUGAAAGAAGAAAUGUAUUGGCGAAGUCGCCGACUUGAAAGUAAAGUGCGAUGAAAAAGUAGAUUUGUUUGUAUUGAUUGAUGUGUUGUUUACAAAUCUCUAAAAGUGGCUAUUUAUAGCCUGUUACAACCAACUUCCUAACUGACUAGUAUCUAUCUCUAAUCUUAAACAAAAACGAAUAUUUACAAACACAACUCGUAUCGGAGUUGGUUAUUAUACUCCUGCGGACCAAUCUUUCUCUAUCUUCUUUCUCUGAUCCACUUUAAGCCCAUAUUGGCCCAAUCGCUCCAGCCUUCCAGUCGGCCGAUCUCUACCAACUCCGCCCGCCAAAAUACUGUAGCGUCAAUCAGCCGAUCCCCAACUGUAGCACCAAUUGGCCGAUUCCCAAUUGUGACCUUUUAAUCUGCUGCAUCGGCCAGUCCUUUCCUUCCUUGACGCCGAUUCCAUACGUGUCAAAAUCUGGCGUCAACACAUUUAUAAUAAGAGAUGAUCAAACAUUUAGGAAACAACACACGAAAGUGCGCAACCACCGAUUGACCAAACGGAAAAAAAUUUAAAAUGAACGCCUAAUGAUUUGAUUUCAAAUAAAAAAAAUGCUAAAAAUGAAAAUUUGCAAUCUGUUCCUCUCAAUUUAGCCUUGCCCUUGCCCUUCGACUCCAUUUUAGCCUAUGCACUUCUGAUUCCCUGCGCUGUACGUUCUUCUGUUGCCGGCCGGCCGACGGUGCACUUCGGCACCCGUACGUCGCACUGUCGCAUCUCGCCGGGCGCACCGUCGCAGCAUGACCUCGGGCCUCGACGUCGCCCGUGACCCGUGAUCGGCAAAGCGCUAAGGGUUGCGACGAGCACAAGCGCUAGGUCUCUCGUGUGGAUUUUGGGCUGCUAGUGUUUUGGGCCAUUACGCACCAGGGCAAAAAAAACAAACAAAUCAAUUGGCCCAAUGCAAAGAACACUCGGCCUUGUAACGGUUGGCAGCCUGACGUUUCCUUUCUUCUUCCUGGACCUUUUACAUUCAAUCAGUUCGUCGCUCAUACAGGCAGCCAUGACGUCCUGUGUGUAGUAGAUGCAGCAACGGAAGGGGAAUGCCAUACUGGGCACAACUGAUUCUUGAGCAACUGGGAGUGACAUGCAGUUCUGCAACAGUUCAAAUUAAAGGAACUGCAAAUAAAUGGAUGUAAAUGAAGGCAGAGAAAGAAGAAAAAGGAUCGAAUCAAAGAGAAAAAGGAAAACCCACAUGCUAUUGCUAGAAUCAAGAUCAUGGCACACAGAUGCAGCCAAAGGGUCCGAUCGAUCUGAAAAGGAGAAGGGAACUGCGUGGUGGCAUGAUCGCCCCCACAGCCCCACCUUCCAGGUGGCGAUGACAGUUUUGUGUCUCGCUCAGUCUGCGAAAGAUUAAUUGCAGCGAUCUGGGCACUAAGUAAAGAACAAGGAAACAAUUUAUCGACAAGCUAAUUUAUCGAUCAUCCUGUGACUCGUGUUUUUGUAUGUGUGAUUAGUUUUUUUUUCCUUUGUGGACAAGCUGAUUUAUCGAUCAUCCUGUGAAGAAUUCCAUUUUUCUCGAUUCAAAAGCUCAGAUGGAUUAUCUUGUUGAGUUCCGACUGUUUCCGUAUUCUCUCCAUGACUCCAAAGAGCAACAAAACCCACCACCAUAUUAACAACCAAAUAAAAACGCGUUCCGUAGAACAUACGCUUCUGUCGGUGAAACCGAAGAUGAAAGGACGAAGGAAGACGAGCAAAAAAGGAAAAGCUUUGUUUUGUGCUUUUGAGUCCCCCACCGUCAUGCAUUUGUUCCAAUUUUAUUAUAGUUUUGGUGCUGAGAAUGAUGUAAAAACUUUGUUGUGUGCGGUUGCAGAGGUUGGAAACAAUUUCCUUUUUCUAAAAUAAAAAAAUGCAUUUGCACACAGGACUCCUUUUUAGCUACGUGUUCUUUUUUUAUUUGCUUCUUUAAAACUUACCAUUGGCGGAGAAGUGGAAAUAUUAACGUGGCCUUAUUCUAACAAGCAAAUUAAUUAAGUUAACUGAACAAUCAAAUUAAUUAAGCUAAAGAAGUGACCAUGUGCGUGCAUUUCGUCUAUCUACAACGGAUCUUUUGACUUGAAACAAAAAUACCUAAAGGCAGUCAAGGUACCUUUUGGCAAGGAGACUAUCAUCAUUGCCAUAACAGAAAAUAUUUUAGGCUUAAUCUAGAUGCCCUAGGCAGUAAUAAAAGGCAGUAAUAAGGAGAUUACUUUACUAUUACUAAUUGGAUAUUCAUUUCAAAGGCCGUUAUAAAAAAAAAGUAAAUCCAAAAAAUACUCAUAAAAAUAAAAAAUAUCUGAGACCAUAUGGUAUACCCUAAUCAUUAAUGGUGGAUCCACAGAUUGUAUUGUAUGGAGCCCGAGCAGAGACUAAGACAUUUCCCUUGCUGUCUCCGGCAAACGAUGUUCCAACUAUGGAUUAAAACAACUAUCCUCUUGCAGAUGUGGCGCUGGAACCCGAGUAGCCUUGGGCCACCCCUGGUAAUCAUCAUUGAUAAAAGUAGACAUUCAAUAAUAUAUUAUGUUUUGUUUAAUAAUUACACACAUCUAUCGUUAAUUGCACUUCUAACUUUAUGACUACGACGGGCACAGCUUUGGAAAAGAAAGGAACAUAUUCGCGAGCAACCAUAUAAUAAGGAGGUAUUUUCUUCCACUAACUUAUUUUUAGCACGUGUCACAUCGAAUGUUUAGAUAUUAAUUAGGAGUAUUAAACGUAGACUAUUUACAAAACCCAUUACAUAAUACAAAACUGAACGGUAAGAGGGAUCGAUUAAGGCUAAUUAAGCCUAAUUAAUCCCAUCAUUAUCAAAUGAUUACUGUAGCAACACGAUUGUCAAAUCAUGGACUAAUUAGGCUUAAUAGAUUCAUCUCGCUGUUUAGAUUCGUCUUGUGUAAUGGGUUUUGUAAAUAGUCUACGUUUAAUACUCCUAAUUAGUAUCUAAACAUUCGAUGUGACGGUUGCUAAAAAUAAGUCAGUGGAAGAAAACGGGGCCUAAGCAUCAAAAGCAAAGAUAGGGAGCAGGAAAAAGCAAGCGCAUUCAGAAAAAAAAAAACAUAUGGAGGAAACCCAACGUACUUGGGAAGAUGAAACUGCAGGAUUGAGCACUAACCAUCCAUAAGCAAACACAUUAUUCCGAGAGCGGGCAGGCAGCCGUAUCGAACUGGCGUCAGUCAACUAGAUCUCCGCCUUACGGUAAAAUAUUUCUGUGCAUUUCUGUGUUCUGUUUAGAAUUUAGCAGAGAUUGCAUGAUGCUAGCAAGCAGUGAUACUGAUCCCAUAUGUUGAACACCUUAUAUGCCUUAGUUUCCAUUCCAGUGUGAUUAGUUCCUUAAUUUGUGUGCUUGUACCAACAACUUGCUCUAAUCUUGACAUAUGUGAAUUAAAUCAGCUGGCCCAUGGCUGGAAGGAAUUACACCAUAGACGACUGCGUCUACGCUGCACUGGGCAAAUGCUCCGCUAGGAUUACAUGCGAGGCUGAUAUGGCGUCCUCAUUCCACAAGAGCUUGGGAGAGAACAUAUGGCUUAUGAACUCACUCCUGCUCACCAGUGCCGUCCUGGCUGGAGUCAUAGCAGGGAUAGGCAUCUACGGCCAGCGCUACCGCCACCACCGCUACACCAGGUUUAUCUUCCUCGGAGCCACGACCCUAUUCUUGCCUGUCGUCUCCACUGUUGUCUCCAUGCGCACCGGGAACAGUGACCACAGCAUACAUAGGCAUGAUGAGGCCACUCAUUUGAUUGCAGACUGCGGCCCAAAAGGACUAUCGGUCCUGAUUCUAAUAUGGGCAUCCCUUGUUCAGAUCAUCAUGAUCAAUACCAGUGCAGUAGUUGCUGUCGAUGAUAGAGAAGGUGGAAACGUAGGUCCUCCAUUUGAGCUGCUUGUUCAGGGUGUCUGGAUCUUUUACCUUGGUAUCAGCAAUGUCAUUCCCGCCGCUCGCACAAAUGACAUCACGGUACUAAUUAUUGGUGCCUUUGAAGCCACACCUUUUGCUCUCACGUUUGCCAAAAUGGUAUUGAAAUAUUAUGCAUAUGAAAAGGCGCGACAAUCCUUUGGUCUCGGACGCAAUCCCCAUCUUAUUUUUGGAUACAUGAAGCAACAAUCGUUACAAGAAACAAGUCACGAUGGUGAACCAAUGGUAGCUGAGGAUGCACCUCCCCCGCUGCUGGUUAUGGGAGAAGAGAAAAGACACGUGGAGAAGCAGCCUCUUGGGUAUGUGUUCAAGGAUGACUCAUGGACAACUUCGCAUAAUAAUGGCCUGGUGACUAUUGAUAGAGUUUGGAGGAUGGAUAACGUGCUUCCAACAUCAACACUGAAACCAAAAAGACUUAUGCUUGUCAUUUGCACUGUUCAAGUUGUUGCGGUGCCGAUUUGCAAGGUACAAGGUCAGAACUGCUGCCUCUAAGGGCACCUUCAGUUUUUUCUGGAGCUUAUUGCUGAAGGAUGGCGAACAUGAUAGGGUGUUUUUGGUCAUUUCGGAUGAGCUUUCUUUCCUUCAUGAUUAUUAUUAUUCAUCCCUCCCGAUCUCCUAUUCCAAGUAUUGGUUGCCCGUUGCCGGUAUCUUGAUCUCACUACUGAGCAUAGCUUACUGUUGUGUAUUGAUGAUCGCAGUAACGCUUGUGGAAGUCCUGUCGUUGCUGGAUGAUUCAGCCAGCGGACCUCAGAUUGAGUGCACUGUUUUUUGCAUUCGAGGACCUCUGAUGAGCAAGCCCAUGGAUACAGAAUAUGGGAACUACAACUUCGAUCUGGUGCCAUUAAUUUUGCUUUCGGUGUUAGUCAUGAUGUCUGAGGUGAGGGACAUAGCUACCUACAUCUACUCCAACUGGACUAAAGUUGCCGUCACCUGCCACCUUGUAAACCAUGCCUCUUCACAGCAUUCACUUCUCAAGAAGAAAUGGAUUGGCCUUCUGCUGCGUUGUCGAUGCAAGCUGAUGAAGCAUUGGGAUGAGAAAAUAGGUCAGUGCACUAUGCUGGAGAUUUGCCCGAGAACAACCGUGCCUGUACUUCUCAGGCGUCUCCUCAACUUACCAGACCACAAGAGGAAGGUCAAUGUGCCUGCAGCAGUGAAGGUUUGCAUCAUGGAAGUUGUAAGAAGCACUAGAAAUAGAGACCUUAGCAAUGGCACAGCAUCUCUCCGCUGCCGGGGCCAAGUUGGUGAAAGGCUCCUCUGGGCUUGCAACAACAAGAGUGUGUCUUAUACCAUACUGACAUGGCACAUCGCCACAAUAAUCCUCGAGGUCAGGUACCCACACCGGCUUGAUCAACAACAAGGUUCCUCUUCUCCAAUUCCGAACACGGAUUAUAAGAUCGUUGCCACUCACCUAUCAAGGUACUGUGCUUACCUUGUGACAUGGUGCCCUGAGUUACUCCCUGAUGAUGAUGCAUGGAGCAGGAGCCUGUACGAGGAUGUCAAGAAGGAUGUUGAGCGUGUACUUGCCGGCUGCACAGCAGGAGACUCACUGACGCCAGAAGCAAAUUGCCAACAGCUGAUCGAAGUGCUGAGUGCAGAUGCGAAGCAUGAAGUGCUCAAGGAAGGCGCUAGGCUUGGAAAGCAGUUGUUGGCGCUGGUGGUCGAAGGUGAGGACGAUACGGCGUUGUGGAAGUUACUGGCUGAAUUUUGGUCGGAGAUGAUCGUGUAUGUCGCGCCAUCCGACAACCAAAAAGGUCAUUCGGAGGCCAUCGCCAGGGGUGGCGAGCUGAUAACUCUGCUCUGGGUGUUGCUCUUCCAUGCUGGGAUCCUCAGUAGGCCAGGUGAGGACGACGGCGUUGCUCCUACUUCUGUUGGCGUGGUUUAGUAGAGCCUCCUAUGUUUGGAACUACUGUUUCCUCCUUGUUUCGGAUUCUUCAUCGUGGUGCGUUGUCUGCAGUUGUUUGUGUAUGUUGAGUUCAUUUCAUAUACCAGAAUUUGUUAACUUGCGGCAGCAUGUGACUCCAUCUUGGUAAUCAGAUCAUCAAUUGUAACAAGUCUAUUUAGAGGUCCUAUAAUAUUGUCGAGACUCGAUAUUCAGAUGUAAUGUUACAUUAUUUCUACAUAUUGUAUUGUGAUCAAUAUAUAUGUUUUAAUUUGGUAUUGUAAUGAAGUGCUAGUAUAUUACACUAUUACUAAUUGGAGGCUCCUAAAUCCUCGCGAUGUGCUCUAGAAAAAUAGAUAAAUCUUAUAAAUUUCCACAAAAUUAAAAUCAGAAACAUCCAAGCGUCAAUCCACUAGACUCUAAUCAUAAUAGCCAUUGGAUCUAUUAUGUUUUCUAAAAAUUUAAUCACAUCCCUCAUUAUAAUAAUGGCCUCAUUAUAAUAAUAGUAUAAAGUAACUCCUAAUUCUAUAUCGAAAUUUUCCACCUCUAGCAUAGGUGGGUAAUUUAUAUGGUUGGCAUCAUAACUACACAUCCAGUUUGUAGCUGUGAAUCCAUUGAGCCGGUUAUGAUGCUGGAACACAACCAGUGGUCGAAGAUGGAACAAAUUUAGGAGUACGGAAUAAAUUGAAGGUCUGACAAAAUAAAAAAUUGAAAGUAACCAAAAAGAUAUCCUUUUCAUUAUAAUAGCACGAAACAGUGAAGGGCGGAAUAAAUUGCAAGCUCGAUGAUCAAACAUUUAGGAGAUAAUAGCUGCAGGUCCAGAGAUGAUCAAACAUUUAGGAAACAACACUUGAAAUGCACAACCACCGAUUGACCAAAACGAAAAGGAAAUUAAAAUGAAUGCCUAAUGAUUUGAUUUCAAAUAAAAAAUGCUAAAAUGAAAAUUUGCAAUCUGUACCUCUCAAUUCAGCCUUGCCCUUGCCCUUGGACUCCAUUUUAGCCUGUGCACUUCUGAUUCCCUGCGUUGUACGCUGCUUCUUGUAACACCAAUGGUGUUUACUAUAAAUUAAACCUUACUUAAGCACUAAUGAGGAGAAAUAAAAAGGAAAAGAGAAAAGAAAAGGAGACAUACAGAAAAGAAGACUUGGUCAAACAAGGUUGAAUUAGAGAGUUGACUAAGUCAACCAUGGUCAAAUUAAGUAAAAAAGGUGAAUUUGGAUCAAAUGUGACAAAUGGAGUGGAAUAAAUUCAAAUCCAGUUUGAAUUUUUAAAUUUAAACUUGAUUUGGAAAGAGGAGUCAAAUGUGGUCAAGUACCCAUGUUUGAGUGCUGUUUCAAAGGAUUUUAUAUAACAACUUUGGAAAAUAUUCUACUAAGAGUUUGAGUAUAAUGUGUAUAGAACACUUUGGACUUGAUUCGGUUCACAGAAAAUGGAAUUUGUGUAUUUUAAUUGAAGCACAAAGUUUUGAACUUUGUGCUGUUUGGAGACUUGGGCAGAUUCUCAAUUCAGUAUCUGUAACUGAAACUCAUAUUCAGUUCAUAAUCAAAUCUUCAGAACCCUUAAUCUCUCAAACCGUGGAUCCUUUGAACAAAGUUCAUAUCUAUCAUUUGUAUACCUAUGUUACAUCUACAUUUUUGUUUAUUGGUGCUUGAAGAGAUUGUGUUUGGUUUGGAUGAAUUUUUCUUAAGAAAGAAGGAAUAUUUCUGUGUACCAAAGCCAAAACAUACAGCGGUAAGGGUGCCUUUGGUUGGGCUUUCCAACCUACUUUUAAGUUAAAAGCUAACCAAAGGACCUAAAAGCCACAUAUGCUUUAGGUUAAAAGCUGCUUUUGCUCUAGGGUGUUUUUGAUUGGGCUGUGGCUUUUGGAAAAAGCUCCUGUGAGCUGUAGGCUGUAGAAAAGCAGUUGUGAGAAAGUAGCUGUGGGAAAAGCAGAAGACUGUUUGGUUACAGCAACUGUGAAACUGUAGGCUGUGUAAGAAAUACAUAUAAUGUCCCUAAAGGUCUGAGGGUCUGUUUAUAUGCAAAUUGUUCGUAACAAAAUAUUGGGUUCACCAAUUCUCAUAAAUGAGUAUUUUAGAACGAAAAAAAAUAAAAUUUAUAUGUUCUUCAUCCAUUUAAGUGAUUGGUCCACAUAAAUAGAACAAUAUUCAUCAAAAGACUUAUAUAAUGAUGCUAUCCCUCAACAUUACUAUCAUCUUCUCCCACUAACCAAAGCAUCAGCUAUCUUAGUACGAAUGGUAUUCAUGGUAUCCUCAUUCUCCACACGUUUCUCAUCUUCGGAUAUGACUUUUCUCAUCUUCGGAUAUGACUAUUUAUUGAUGAAAUAUUUUUUAUUUCCAUAACCAUAUCCAUUAGAGGGUCCCACUUGUCAUUCUCGGUGCCUAUCGUUUCUUUUUUUCUUUUUGCCUCGACAGUAUCUUCUAGCAUUGGACGAGCAUCAUCACCCAAGGUCAAUCCCAGGAUGGAGAGGAGCUCGAGCUUGCCUGGGCCAUAGCCGCCCAAUGCGAGCUUUGCCUGCACCAUGGCUGCCCAGCUCGAGCUUGCCAACGGCAUGGCCGCCCAGCUUGAAGACGAAGUACAGCACCUUGGUGCGCAGUAGGAAGUUGCGCUCGAUGACGAAGGCGAUGAGCGUGACGAGCCACUGGCUGAGGAGGUGGUCUUCUCGGCGGUGACCAUGACACAACACUUCCAGAUCUCCAGCCCCAAGAGGACGCGCCUCCGCAGGGGCUGCACGACGAUGCUGACGACGAGCCGCGCGAGGACGAGGAUGAGCACGGAGAGCUCAAGGCCGAGGCACGCCUGGCGGCGGCACCGUGCCGCGAAGGCGGGUCUCCGGGAGCCGUCACUGUUGCGGAAGAGGUCUAUUUUACAUCGCUAUUGGCUUGUUCAUUGUUAUUGAGGUUAUUAAUUGCUGGGUUACAAUCUAUGGUUCUGGUUUUUGUCGGACUAGCUACAGUAAGAUCGCAUCGAGUUCUGUCAGUGUACCUAUCAUAAGAUCCAGUAAAAUUCACUUGAAAAUUACACGUAAAUCGGUAAAUGUUCUGUAAUUUGUCAAAGAAGAAAAAGGAAGUUGUGUUACAGGAUAACGACUAUAAUCUUAUUGGGGCAAGAAAUUAGACAUGCGGAAUUUUUACCACAUAUUGUUUGUGCAUUUCAUUACAAAAAAAAGGCAUUGAUCAGCCCCAUCUAAACGUCUUAAAUAAAUGAAUG
rnacentral:lncRNA from 1 species